UUUUAGCCCCGAUAGAAGUGGAAAUCCUUUUGUGCCGGGGUUCGGCGCAAAAGAUUGAAACGAAUAGCGGGAAAAAGC
rnacentral:sRNA from 2 species